CUAUUUAGGUAGCGCCUCGUGAACUCAUCUUCGGGGGUAGAGCACUGUUUCGGCUAGGGGGUCAUCCCGACUUACCAACCCGAUGCAAACUACGAAUACCGAAGAAUGUUAUCACGGGAGACACACGGCGGGUGCUAACGUCCGUCGUGAAGAGGGAAACAACCCAGACCGCCAGCUAAGGUCCCAAAGUCAUGGUUAAGUGGGAAACGAUGUGGGAAGGCACAGACAGCCAGGAUGUUGGCUUAGAAGCAGCCAUCAUUUAAAGAAAGCGUAAUAGCUCACUGGUCGAGUCGGCCUGCGCGGAAGAUGUAACGGGGCUAAACCAUGCACCGAAGCUGCGGCAGCGACACUAUGUGUUGUUGGGUAGGGGAGCGUUCUGUAAGCCUGCGAAGGUGUGCUGUGAGGCAUGCUGGAGGUAUCAGAAGUGCGAAUGCUGACAUAAGUAACGAUAAAGCGGGUGAAAAGCCCGCUCGCCGGAAGACCAAGGGUUCCUGUCCAACGUUAAUCGGGGCAGGGUGAGUCGACCCCUAAGGCGAGGCCGAAAGGCGUAGUCGAUGGGAAACAGGUUAAUAUUCCUGUACUUGGUGUUACUGCGAAGGGGGGACGGAGAAGGCUAUGUUAGCCGGGCGACGGUUGUC
rnacentral:rRNA from 1 species